UACGGAGGAUCCAAGCGUUAUCCGGAUUUAUUGGGUUUAAAGGGUGCGUAGGCGGCUUAUUAAGUCAGGGGUGAAAGACGGUGGCUCAACCCAUCGCAGUGCCUUUGAUACUGAUGAGCUUGAAUAUACUAGAGGUAGGCGGAAUGUGACAAGUAGCGGUGAAAUGCAUAGAUAUGUCACAGAACACCGAUUGCGAAGGCAGCUUUACUAUGGUAUUUAUUUGACGCGAGGCACGAAGCGUGGGAUCAAACAGG
rnacentral:rRNA from 1 species